rnacentral:rRNA from 1 species
UACAGGGGGGGCGAGCGUUGUUCGGAAUUAUUGGGCGUAAAGAGCGCGUAGGCGGUGCGGUAAGUCACCUGUGAAACCUCUGGGCUUAACCCAGAGCCUGCGGGCGAAACUGCCGUGCUAGAGUGUGGGAGAGGUGCGUGGAAUUCCCGGUGUAGCGGUGAGAUGCGUAGAUAUCGGGAGGAACACCUGUGGCGAAAGCGGCGCACUGGACCACAACUGACGCUGAGGCGCGAAAGCUAGGGGAGCAAACAGG